UCCAGGGUAACCUAGUGGACAUGGCAUCUGCCCGGUAAGCUGAACACUGUGGGUUUGAUUCCCAUCCCUGGAC
rnacentral:tRNA from 1 species